rnacentral:rRNA from 1 species
UUUAUGGAGAGUUUGAUCCUGGCUCAGGAUGAACGCUGGCGGCGUGCCUAAUACAUGCAAGUCGAGCGAACAGAUAAGGAGCUUGCUCCUUUGACGUUAGCGGCGGACGGGUGAGUAACACGUGGGUAACCUACCUAUAAGACUGGAAUAACUCCGGGAAACCGGGGCUAAUGCCGGAUAACAUGUUGAACCGCAUGGUUCUACAGUGAAAGACGGUCUUGCUGUCACUUAUAGAUGGACCCGCGCCGUAUUAGCUAGUUGGUGGGGUAACGGCCUACCAAGGCGACGAUACGUAGCCGACCUGAGAGGGUGAUCGGCCACACUGGAACUGAGACACGGUCCAGACUCCUACGGGAGGCAGCAGUAGGGAAUCUUCCGCAAUGGGCGAAAGCCUGACGGAGCAACGCCGCGUGAGUGAUGAAGGUCUUCGGAUCGUAAAGCUCUGUUGUUAGGGAAGAACAAAUGUGUAAGUAACUGUGCACAUCUUGACGGUACCUAACCAGAAAGCCACGGCUAACUACGUGCCAGCAGCCGCGGUAAUACGU